AGAGUUUGAUCCUGGCUCAGGAUGAACGCUAGCUACAGGCUUAACACAUGCAAGUCGAGGGGAAACGAUAUUGGAAGCUUGCUUCCGAUAGGCGUCGACCGGCGCACGGGUGAGUAACGCGUAUCCAACCUGCCCACCACUUGGGGAUAACCUUGCGAAAGUAAGACUAAUACCCAAUGAUAUCUCUAGAAGACAUCUGAAAGAUAUUAAAGAUUUAUCGGUGAUGGAUGGGGAUGCGUCUGAUUAGCUUGUUGGCGGGGUAACGGCCCACCAAGGCAACGAUCAGUAGGGGUUCUGAGAGGAAGGUCCCCCACAUUGGAACUGAGACACGGUCCAAACUCCUACGGGAGGCAGCAGUGAGGAAUAUUGGUCAAUGGACGAGAGUCUGAACCAGCCAAGUAGCGUGCAGGAAGACGGCCCUAUGGGUUGUAAACUGCUUUUAUAAGGGAAUAAAGUGAGAGUCGUGACUCUUUUUGCAUGUACCUUAUGAAUAAGGACCGGCUAAUUCCGUGCCAGCAGCCGCGGUAAUACGGAAGGUCCGGGCGUUAUCCGGAUUUAUUGGGUUUAAAGGGAGCGUAGGCCGGAGAUUAAGCGUGUUGUGAAAUGUAGACGCUCAACGUCUGCACUGCAGCGCGAACUGGUUUCCUUGAGUACGCACAAAGUGGGCGGAAUUCGUGGUGUAGCGGUGAAAUGCUUAGAUAUCACGAAGAACUCCGAUUGCGAAGGCAGCUCACUGGAGCGCAACUGACGCUGAAGCUCGAAAGUGCGGGUAUCGAACAGGAUUAGAUACCCUGGUAGUCCGCACGGUAAACGAUGGAUGCCCGCUGUUGGUCUGAAUAGGUCAGCGGCCAAGCGAAAGCAUUAAGCAUCCCACCUGGGGAGUACGCCGGCAACGGUGAAACUCAAAGGAAUUGACGGGGGCCCGCACAAGCGGAGGAACAUGUGGUUUAAUUCGAUGAUACGCGAGGAACCUUACCCGGGCUUGAAUUGCAGAGGAAGGAUUUGGAGACAAUGACGCCCUUCGGGGCCUCUGUGAAGGUGCUGCAUGGUUGUCGUCAGCUCGUGCCGUGAGGUGUCGGCUUAAGUGCCAUAACGAGCGCAACCCCUCUCCUUAGUUGCCAUCAGGUUAAGCUGGGCACUCUGGGGACACUGCCACCGUAAGGUGUGAGGAAGGUGGGGAUGACGUCAAAUCAGCACGGCCCUUACGUCCGGGGCUGCACACG
rnacentral:rRNA from 1 species